rnacentral:misc_RNA from 1 species
AACGCACGAGACCUGCGGACCUGCGGAGGGAUCAUUAAAAAUGCAGGGGGGCUCUUUAGGGUCUCCCACUAUUUUUAUUCUGUGCACCGUUAAUUUGGGGGAAACCCCGCCCUGGGUUGGUUCGCUGUCUCCUUUGGGGGACUGUUCGGCCGCCCAGACAACUAUUAUACUAUUAUGACUGAACCAUAACAGAAAAUUGUUAACAUAUAAACAACUUUUAACAACGGAUCUCUAGAUCGG